rnacentral:rRNA from 1 species
UGGGGAAUAUUGGGCAAUGGGCGCAAGCCUGACCCAGCAACGCCGCGUGAAGGAAGAAGGCUUUCGGGUUGUAAACCUCUGUCUUCGGGGACGAAAAUGACGGUACCCGAGGAGGAAGCCACGGCUAACUACGUGCCAGCAGCCGCGGUAAUACGUAGGUGGCAAGCGUUGUCCGGAAUUACUGGGUGUAAAGGGAGAGUAGGCGGGAUUGCAGGUCCGUUGUUAAAUCUAUCGGCUUAACCGGUAGCUGCGGCGGAAACUGUAGUUCUUGAGUGAAGUAGAGGCAGGCGGAAUUCCUAGUGUAGCGGUGAAAUGCGUAGAUAUUAGGAGGAACACCAGUGGCGAAGGCGGCCUGCUGGGCUUUAACUGACGCUGAGGCUCGAAAGUGUGGGGAGCAAACAGGAUUAGAUACCCUGGUAGU